rnacentral:rRNA from 1 species
AGAGCGAACGCUGGCGGCAGGCUUAACACAUGCAAGUCGAGCGCCCCGCAAGGGGAGCGGCAGACGGGAGAGUAACACGUGGGAACGUACCUUUCGGUUCGGAACAACCCAGGGAAACUUGGGCUAAUACCGGAUACGUCCGUAAGGAGAAAGAUUUAUCGCCGAAAGAUCGGCCCGCGUCUGAUUAGCUAGUUGGUGAGGUAACGGCUCACCAAGGCGACGGUCAGUAGCUGGUCUGAGAGGAUGAUCAGCCUCACUGGGACUGAGACACGGCCCAGACUCCUACGGGAGGCAGCAGUGGGGAAUAUUGGACAAUGGGCGCAAGCCUGAUCCAGCCAUGCCGCGUGGGUGAUGAAGGCCCUAGGGUUGUAAAGCCCUUUCGGCGGGGAAGAUAAUGACGGUACCCGCAGAAGAAGCCCCGGCUAACUUCGUGCCAGCAGCCC